UACGUAGGGUGCAAGCGUUGUCCGGAAUUAUUGGGCGUAAAGAGCUCGUAGGCGGUUUGUCGCGUCUGCUGUGAAAACUCGGGGCUCAACCCCGAGCCUGCAUUCGAUACGGUCAGACUAGAGUUCAGUAGGGGAGACUGGAAUUCCUGGUGUAGCGGUGAAAUGCGCAGAUAUCAGGAGGAACACCGGUGGCGAAGGCGGGUCUCUGGGCCGAUACUGACGCUGAGGAGCGAAAGCGUGGGGAGCGAACAGG
rnacentral:rRNA from 1 species